AGAAAGAGAAGCAAUAACCAGACUGAUGUUAAACUCAGUCAGAAACUACAUCAUGAUCAUUUUCCUCUGUGUCACUCUGAAUGUUUUCAUCGUCUCAGGGGCCUCUGUCGGCAAAGAGGUCAACCAGGAUCCAUCUGAUGUGAUCAAGAGACCGGGUGAACCGGCAAUAUUUAACUGCCAACACAAAAUUAGUGGCUAUAACCAAAUCCUCUGGUACAAACAGUUAAAGAACAAACAGAUGCAGUUCCUGGGAUACAUGAAUUAUGAUCAAGCAUCUCCUGAAGACAAAGACAAAGUGAGCAUAGAGGGGGAUGCAAAUGCCAACAAGGACUGCAAACUAACAAUCAAAGAAGUGGAUCUGAACAGCAGUGCAGUGUAUUUCUGUGCUGCUAGUCUCCACAGUGCUGCAUGUCACCACUCAUCAGUACAAAAACCUCCCUUUAUCUCUAAGACACAGCUCACAGCCUCUUCAACUUAUUGGGUGUUAUUACCAAACCUGUGGUGACAGCUGACAUGAUGACUGUGAUGUGAAGAGGAGGAGGAAGCAGCUCAGACUCCUCCCACCUCAUCACUCUGUCUCCUUUUCUGAAAGGACGUCUUAGUGGCUGCUCUGACACAGGAGACACAACAUGAUCAUCUUAUUCCUGAUCAUUCAUUUCAACAUCUUUCUGGUGUCAGGUUCCUCUCCUGGUAAAAAGGUCACCCAGACUCCAGCUCACGUUUACAUCAAACCAGGAGAGAAAACAGCCACACUCAACUGUAGACAUGAAAUUCCAACUUAUAAUAAUAUCCUCUGGU